rnacentral:rRNA from 1 species
UACGAAGGGGGCUAGCGUUGCUCGGAAUCACUGGGCGUAAAGCGCACGUAGGCGGAUUGUUAAGUCAAGGGUGAAAUCCUGGAGCUCAACUCCAGAACUGCCUUUGAUACUGGCGAUCUUGAGUCCGGGAGAGGUGAGUGGAACUGCGAGUGUAGAGGUGAAAUUCGUAGAUAUUCGCAAGAACACCAGUGGCGAAGGCGGCUCACUGGCCCGGUACUGACGCUGAGGUGCGAAAGCGUGGGGAGCAAACAGG